CCCUUUAAAAGCCCGGCACUGCUGCAGCCAGGGCCAAACACUUGAAAUAUUGCCCUUAUCGUGCGUCGCAGUGUGCCGUAUUUGGGGUACCACUCAAUCGGUGGGUGCGCGUCCUUGUUUAAGUUACCGGCUGCUUUGCUGUGUUGCGGUGUCAGCACUUAGCAACGGGAGUUCACCUCUCUUCGUCUUCGGCCGUGGUGGGUCGCUUACCGGAAGUACACAAGAUCAAGGCUGCAUUUUGGUCACCGGCUGCUGUUUUGUCAUCAAUAACCCUUUUAGUUUUAUGACUCUUAUUUAGCGAAUGCUCUAUCGCGGCGGCACCGUACGAGGGUGGCCGGAGCAUCUGAGUGGUAACGUGUGAUCGUGUGUGU